CAGCAGAUAGUUUAAUUUAAAAUUUUAAUUUUGGAGAUUAGAGAUAUGUGGGUUUUUUGCUGA
rnacentral:tRNA from 1 species